CAGUAGCCACGGUAAUACGUAGGGUGCAAGCGUUAAUCGGAAUUACUGGGCGUAAAGCGUGCGCAGGCGGUUAUAUAAGACAGAUGUGAAAUCCCCGGGCUCAACCUGGGAACUGCAUUUGUGACUGUAUAGCUAGAGUACGGCAGAGGGGGAUGGAAUUCCGCGUGUAGCAGUGAAAUGCGUAGAUAUGCGGAGGAACACCGAUGGCGAAGGCAAUCCCCUGGGCCUGUACUGACGCUCAUGCACGAAAGCGUGGGGUGCAAACAGGAUUAGAUACCCCUGUAGUCCCUGUCUCUUAUAC
rnacentral:rRNA from 1 species